UUUGUGCAGGGAACAACAGCUGCCCUGAGUUCCUGAGUACAAAGGUCCUAGGGUAUUCUAAAGACACUACUUGACAGCAGUGAUCCCCAAACCCUGGCUCUUGCAAACUUUCCACAUCUGCGGUGCUCCCUGAAUCUUGGACAAGGGAGUUGAAUGAGGUGUUCAUUUAGGGCUGAACACCCCACAGUCUCCCACUCUCUGAACUUUGACCACUUGUGAAUCUCUCUACUAUCCCCACCCCCACUGCAAAAAGAAACUUCACUGAUAAGCGGCACAUCAGAGAAUUUAAAGUUUCUAGCGUGAAAUCUUUACAAAGUCUCCUGAGGGUACACUGUGUCAUUGUAAGCGAACGUUGAGAGACCACCCUACUGCUUAGUGUUUCUGAAGAUUUUGUCUCAGCCUUCUGAAUGACCUUGGCUAUGAGGCCCCUGGACAGAACACUGUGAUAGAUGACAUCAUCCUGAGCAGCAAUGUUUUCAAGGAGUCACGCUCCUCUUCCCUGGACCUCAGAAGGAGGAAGCUCCACCCAGAGAUCACAUUCUGUCUUCGGGAUGAAAACAGGAAACCGAUAAGCAUGGAUCUCAGUUUUCCGAGAGCUCCCAACUAAUUUCAAAGAACAGGCUACUCUAGACUAGCAAUUAGUCCAGUAAAGAGACUAAAAAGCCAUUACUUCUCAAAACAUUUAAGAACUGAGAAACCUGAGCUACUGGGCUUGGGUACAAUGUUAGAAUAUAACUGAGAGAGGAAGAAAACCUGAAACUUUUACCAAUUAGAUGCUCAUUUACAGCUAUUUGUUCCAAACAAGAAGCCUAAUUGUUAAAGGAGAGAGAGGUUAAUCAUGUGGUGCUGCCUAGUGAGAGUGCAGACAAAAGCAGCUUUUGAACCUCAGGGUAGACAAAUUGGUCCUUUGUUACUUUCCUAAAGUGAAAAAAAAAAAAAAGGGUUAGAAUUUAAAUGCUUGGGAGAUGGAGGCAGGAGGGUUGACUCCGCCAGGCCUGCAUGAGCAAAUACUAUGCCUCAGAAGGAAAGAGAGAACGGAACUGCAUUUAAUAGGCUAAAAUUCUAUAUGCAAACAGUGAAAGAGAAAACAGGAGGGUGUGAAGCAGAUCAUCCCUGGCACCACAGAGGAAAGGAAAAUACAAUACACAAGCCAAGCUGCCAGAGGGGGGAAAAAAUCUAUGGCAUGAUUUACUGCAUUGUUCCCUUGCAAAGCUGACAGAAACCUACCAAGCUGAGGCACAUACAGGAUGGAGAAAGAGCCCUUUAGAAGUAGGAGCUAAUAAACACACCUUCCAAAUAUUCUGUUAGCUAACCUAUCUGUAAAUGAAUCUAAGCAAAAUAUGUUUUUUAAUUCCUAACUAAUAAAACAUAGUGAGGGUAAAUAGCUUUGGAAUGACAAUUGUGAAAACACUGAAUUUGCCUUUUCCCAAAUGAAUAACUUUGGGCAGCUGACCUAAAUUCUCUGAACAACAGCUUCCUCAGUUGCAAAUGGGAUUGGUAACAGCCAACUAAUAGCAUACUAAAGAAUAAAUUAAGUCAGAUACCCACUUAAGACUAUUACUUAAGCACCUAACUUAGACUAGAGAGAUGGGUGAGCAGGUAUGAGCAUUUGUUGCUCUUGCUGAGGACCUAGGUUUGGCUCCCUGUACCCACAUGGCAGCAUAAAACUGUCCAUCACUCCAGUGCCUUCUUCUGAUCUCCACAGGUACGAGGUACUCACUCAGUGCACUUACAUAUCCACAGGCAGAGCACUUGUACACAUAAAAUAAAUAAAUAAAUAAAAUUUGAAGUGCCUGACUUUAAUAGAUUGGUAGAGAUACAACAAUCAAUAGCUUUUACUGCCAUCUGGACAUUUAGCACAAUACAGGAAUGGGGCACUGGUUUUAGGUAAAAGUUCUACUAGGUUUCAGCCCGGGGCAAAAGGGUUGUGUAGAUACAGAAGACUUUGGUGUAGAAAACCCUCAUGCACUGUGCUUGGAAAGUCACCUGUUCUUAUCUCACCUGUGGAGAGUUGGGACCAACCCUCACGGGGCUACAGCACUCAGAGUGGGACCUGUACCUCAUCUGGUUAGAGCUGGCCUUGUGGGUGUGCAAGUGGGAGAGUUGGCCCUGAGGACAAGGGUGCAAGAAAGAUGGUGGGCUGGCCUACUCAUUUUCCACCCAGCCCCAGGGCUCUGAGUUGCACACCGUGUAAUCUACCCUAUCUAUGAACUGUGGAGCACAUGAAGGAGCAGUCCUGCAGAUCCAGAGAUGGGGGAUCUGCAGGACACAUGGUGACAAUAGGAUAUCUGAGAUGAAUCCCUGUGAGGAUCCAGUAUUGAUAGUGUAGCAGAAGUCAGAGGCCUAGAACCAGACCAAUGAAUCAUUGCAAUGAACAUUUGUAAGUGAGUUGUUUGGACAAAGGAGUAUACUGUGGGACACACUGAGGCUUCCAUGGAGAGAUGUUUUUUUUUUUUUUUGUUGUUGUUGUUUUAUUUUCUUUUGGUGGAAGGGAGGUU